rnacentral:rRNA from 1 species
UACGAAGGGGGGCUAGCGUUGCUCGGAAUUACUGGGCGUAAAGGGAGCGUAGGCGGAUAGUUUAGUCAGAGGUGAAAUCCCGGGGCUCAACCUCGGAACUGCCUUUGAUACUGGCUAUCUUGAGUAUGGGAGAGGUGUGUGGAACUCCGAGUGUAGAGGUGAAAUUCGUAGAUAUUCGGAAGAACACCAGUGGCGAAGGCGACACACUGGCCCAUUACUGACGCUGAGGCUCGAAAGCGUGGGGAGCAAACAGG